rnacentral:rRNA from 1 species
CAGCCGCCGCGGUAAUACGGAGGGUGCGAGCGUUAAUCGGAAUAACUGGGCGUAAAGGGCUCGCAGGCGGUUUCUUAAGUCUGAUGCGAAAGCCCCCGGCUCAACCGGGGAGGGUCAUUGGAAACUGGGAAACUUGAGUGCAGAAGAGGAGAGUGGAAUUCCACGUGUAGCGGUGAAAUGCGUAGAGAUGUGGAGGAACACCAGUGGCGAAGGCAGCUCACUGGCUCGAUACUGACGCUGAGGUGCGAAAGCGUGGGGAGCAAACAGGAUUAGAUACCCCGGUAGUCCCUGUCUCUUAUAC